AACGGACAUGGAUCCGAGGGCCAAGCGGCCUAAGCAACAAAGCCUCUUUCAAUGCGGACUCUUCACACUUGCUCGCGGCGCCCCAGCUACGGAUAGAGCUGGUUUUGCCGCUACUGCAUUGUCAGCCGAUGUGUGAUGGUGUUUGCUGGUGAGCGGAAUAACCGUGCAUGCAUUGGCCAGCUUUUGCGUCAAUCGGCGUUCUGAGUCGGACCCAUUAACGAACAUUGCAGGCACCGUUGCUUCGGUUGCGUUGGCUUCUUACGAAUUCAAAAGUUUCACCAAUAUUUUCGGGUGUAAUAUUGAGGGUGUCUUGAACAAUAAAAUCACGAACAUUUCCUGUUACUACGGUACCAAAAUUGAAAGAAAGCUCGGCAGUUGGCAAGGUAGCUGGUCCAACGAUAAUUGUGAUUGAUCCAUACCGCUUAGUAUUGGAAGUUCAUAAAUAGUUCUUAGGCGUAACGAUGGUACGGAUGACCGUUGGCCCGGUGAGCUAAGGGCUGCCUUAGCGGCGAUGAACUACGCCGAUGCAAGCGGUUGGCGCCAGCGAAUGCAUGAACUGUAAACAAUGCUAAAACUAGCAGUCAGCUAAGUCAAUCAGGUUUAGGAACAUAUUUAUCUGGCGGUUUGCGGCCUGACUUGAUCCACAAAGUCAUGGUCGAGCCAGUUGGAAACAAAUGCGGAUGGCCAUUUAGACUUGCAGCCGAUAGUCUGUGUGCCUGGGAGCCUGGGAACCCAGUCUUCAACGGAACUCUGGUAUGGCUUGGUUGGCCCGUCCGCCAUUCGCUGCGUUGCACAGACAGGCUGGCAGGCUGAAUGCAGUACAAGGGCGUAACCUGGUGAGGGGCGGUUGUGCCGUGUUGGGUCGUGGGGACGUGCGCAUGCUCCCACACGGUGGCCUCUCUCCAUCGCCAUGAUCGUUAACCCAGUACAACAUUCAUUGUGCCACUCAGAGCCGACAAAGGGAUGGAACGACAUGUUGAACGUGAUGGCCGUUCUUUGCUGAAUCCCUUUCACUAUUGCCCAGUGCUUGUGGCCAUUGCAACGACCUUACUGCAUGAUUCAAUUGAUUCAGUGCGUUGGUGUUAUUUAAACAGGUUAUUUUACCAGCCGCACGUCUUCAACAGUAUGGGGAUCUUGUCUCUUUUCCUUUCGAUUGCUUUCUCCUUUUAUGCUAGAAGCCUAUUUAUUAUGUGCGUUACGAAUCUGGGUUAGGUUCUUCUGGCGCGUUCAUGGCUUGCCAAAGAAUGCCAGCUAGAGCAUUGAUUAUUAGCGUCUCAUAAAUCAUUUACAUACAGAUGUUUUGGACCAUCAUUUCCAUUACCGUCCGCUAGGCGUCCGCUGGAACGGUCAGGAUGUACGGCGUUGCGGACAGAGGAGCGUCCGGGGGCGGGGCAGAACGGAAAGCGAACCCGUACAGUCAGUGAGUACGGUUUGUAAUUUCUAUACCGCGCCGCUACUGCUCCAAGGUAAAUGUAGCUUUCUACACAGCUG
rnacentral:lncRNA from 1 species